GAUGAAGAAUGUAGCGAAAUGCGAUAAGUAAUGUGAAUUGCAGAAUUCAGUGAAUCAUCGAAUCUUUGAACGCACAUUGCGCCCGCCAGUAUUCUGGCGGGCAUGCCUGUUCGAGCGUCAUUACAACCCUCAGGCCCCCGGGCCUGGCGUUGGGGAUCGGCGGAAGCCCCCUGUGGGCACACGCCGUCCCUCAAAUACAGUGGCGGUCCCGCCGCAGCUUCCAUUGCGUAGUAGCUAACACCUCGCAACUGGAGAGCGGCGCGGCCAUGCCGUAAAACACCCAACUUCUGAAUGUUGACCUCGAAUCAGGUAGGAAUACCCGCUGAACUUAAGCAUAUCAAUAAGCGGAGGA
rnacentral:misc_RNA from 1 species